ensembl:lncRNA
AAACAACAGGGUGACACAGGUGACCUUGAUGUGCAUUAAAAAUGCCUUGGUUGUGGAUUUGUUUUGGUGGGUUUUUUUUUCAAACAUGCAUCUUUUUUCUUCACAAACCAUUAAUUGAUGGACUGGAGUCGUUUGGAUUACUUGUGGAUUAUUGUGAUUUUUUUUAUCAGCUGUUUUAUCUCACAUUCUGACGGCACCCAUUCAAUGCAGAGAAGAAGGAAUUCCAAAGACUGCAAGACUAGACAGACCUGCCAUUACAAGAUACUUCUGCAAGACUAAAGGACAGUCUUUAUCUGUCUCGUAGACCCGUCAGCAUCUUUCUCACGUGUUAUUAUGUGCGUCCUGCCUGAGCACAUCUCUGUCAUGCUGUCCAUCCAGCAAAACAUGUCUGAACAAGAAAACACACUCACUGAUUACUGCUGGAGUCCAAUAAAGCAGGUGGAAGCGUCCAGCAUUUCUGUUGAAGGAAGAGAAAUGUUUUCCUUAUUGAGAUUAAUAUUGUGCUUAAAUUAGUCUAGUAGCAUAAAAACAUAAGAUAAGACAAGAACGAUAUGAAAACAGUGGCAUAUCCUUAUAUAUAAAGCAGCAUAAAUGAACCUCAUACUGAGGUGUGUUUUUGUUUGCUUUAUGACAAUAACCCCACUGACAAUAACAAAAACAGAGUUUGUUUGUUUGUGUUUAAUGCCAUUCCAGCUUCUGUGGCUAUUUUAACAAAAACAGAAUGCAUAAUACAGGAAAAGGAGUCAGACAACAUACAGUACAAGACUGCAAAACACUCACUUUAUUAUCUACAUCAAUGGCAGUAAAGAAUACAGUGAAGUUAAUGUUAACUAAAACUUUUAACUUUUGAUGAGUGAUCCUCACCUUAGGGAAGUUCUACCAGAAUUUCCUUCCAUUGUGUUUAGUAGAGCUCCAACUAUUAAA